rnacentral:lncRNA from 1 species
GGAAGCACAUGCGGAACAACGAAAUGUACAUAUGCCUUUCGAGUCAAUACGAUACAAACAUAAUCUUUCAUAAAUGUAUUCAUAUUUGAAAGAAAACAAAAGCAAGAGCAUACAAGGAUUUCAAGAAAUCACAUAUAGAUCAAUUGAAAUAAGAAAGUUAGGUGAAUUCAAUGUCCAACGAAAUGAAACUGGAAGAGGC